rnacentral:misc_RNA from 1 species
AACGCACCUUGCGCUCCUUGGUAUUCCGAGGAGCAUGCCUGUUUGAGUGUCAUGAAAUCAUCAAUUCUCCUUACUUUGUGAGGUUUGAAUUGGAUUUGGAGGCCUGCUGGACUUGUUUAACGAGUUCAAGCUUCUCUUAAAUGCAUUAGCUGGACUUUGAACGUGCAUAUAUGCAGUGUGAUAACUAUCUUCACUGUUUUGUGGGUUUGAUUUGACUCUGGCUUCUAACGGUCCAAUGCCUUGGACAAUUAUUUGACCAUUUGACCUCAAAUCAGGUAGGAUUACCCGCUGAACUUAA